rnacentral:rRNA from 1 species
GAUGAACGCUGGCGGCGUGCUUAACACAUGCAAGUCGAACGAUGAAGCCCAGCUUGCUGGGUGGAUUAGUGGCGAACGGGUGAGUAACACGUGAGUAACCUGCCCUUAACUCUGGGAUAAGCCUGGGAAACUGGGUCUAAUACCGGAUAGGAGCGUCCACCGCAUGGUGGGUGUUGGAAAGAUUUAUCGGUUUUGGAUGGACUCGCGGCCUAUCAGCUUGUUGGUGAGGUAAUGGCUCACCAAGGCGACGACGGGUAGCCGGCCUGAGAGGGUGACCGGCCACACUGGGACUGAGACACGGCCCAGACUCCUACGUGAGGCAGCAGUGGGGAAUAUUGCACAAUGGGCGCAAGCCUGAUGCAGCGACGCCGCGUGAGGGAUGACGGCCUUCGGGUUGUAAACCUCUUUCAGUAGGGAAGAAGCGAAAGUGACGGUACCUGCAGAAGAAGCACCGGCUAACUACGUG